CCUCAGAUGUUGUUGGAUUCCAACUCCCAUCAUUUUUGGAUAUUGUCUGUUCUGCCUAGGGUUGGUGGGGGUUGGAGUGCAACAACAUCUUAAGG